rnacentral:rRNA from 1 species
UACAGAGGGGGCAAGCGUUGUUCGGAAUUACUGGGCGUAAAGGGCGCGUAGGCGGCCUGUUAAGUCGAACGUGAAAUCCCCAGGCUCAACCUGGGAACUGCGUCCGAUACUGGCAGGCUUGAAUCCGGGAGAGGGAUGCGGAAUUCCAGGUGUAGCGGUGAAAUGCGUAGAUAUCUGGAGGAACACCGGUGGCGAAGGCGGCAUCCUGGACCGGUAUUGACGCUGAGGCGCGAAAGCUAGGGGAGCAAACGGG